GACGGGGGUGCAAGCGUUGUUCGGAAUCAUUGGGCGUAAAGCGUGUGCAGGUGGCUUUAUAAGUCAGAUGUGAAAGCCCCGAGCUUAACUCGGGAAGUGCAUUUGAAACUGUAAAGCUUGAGUAUGGAAGAGGGUCGUGGAAUUCCAGGUGUAGUGGUGAAAUACGUAGAUAUCUGGAGGAACACCGGUGGCGAAGGCGGCGACCUGGUCCAAUACUGACACUCAUACACGAAAGCGUGGGGAUCGAAACAGG
rnacentral:rRNA from 1 species